AAACACCAGGCUCGAAAGGUCGAGCCUUCCACCUUUUACCAAGUAUAUAGGUGCAUUAAAUUAACUAGCAUUAAUAUGGUGAUAUAUCAAGGAACCCAUGUUUUCACAUGGAAGCAACUACACCUGCAACUAGCAACGCUAACAACAUGGAUAAGCAAGCAGUAACAUAGCCAAUCAGUGGUUUGCUAGGUCGAACAGGUUGAAGGUUAUCAUGGUAUUGUUGAGAGGCUAAUAUUUCACAUGUGGUAGGCAACGAGACAUAAUCGAUAGAAGCGAUAAAACUAGCAUGGUAAUGAUAGUAAUGGUAUCUGGGGAAAUGAUCAUCUUGCUUGAGAUCCCGCUUGGAAGAAGAAUGACUUCGUGAAACAGACGAACUGAUGUAGUCGAACUGGUCCUCACAUCCGAC
rnacentral:lncRNA from 1 species